rnacentral:tRNA from 1 species
GCCUUCGUGGUGUAAUGGUAGCAGCACCCUCGGCACGUAUUCCAGAGGCUCAGGUUCGAACCCCGGCGAGGGUA